AGCAUCUGAGGUGGUACGGACGAUUAUUGGGCCUAAAGUCUCCGUAGCGCGCUCUGAAAGUUUUCGGUUAAAUCCAUCAGCUAAACGGAUGGGCUGCGGGGAAUACUGCAAAGCUAGGAAGGGGGAGAGGUAAACGGUACUCGGUGGGAAGGGGUAAAAUCCUUUGAUCUAUGGAUGACCACCUGUGGCGAAGGCGGUCUACCAGAACACGUCCGACGGGGAGGGAUGAAAGCUGGGGGAGCAAACCGGAUUAGAUACCCGGGUAGUCCCAGCUGUAAACGAUGCAAACUCAGGGAUGCAUUGGCUUGAGGCCAAUGCAGGGCCGCAGGGAAGCCGUUAAGUUUGCCGCCUGGGAAGUACGUACGCAAGAAUGAAACUUAAAGGAAUUGGCGGGGGAGCACCACAAGGGGGGAAGCCUGCGGUUCAAUUGGAGUACGGGCCCGGAA
rnacentral:rRNA from 1 species